rnacentral:rRNA from 1 species
UACGAAGGGGGCUAGCGUUGCUCGGAAUCACUGGGCGUAAAGGGUGCGUAGGCGGGUCUUUAAGUCAGGGGUGAAAUCCUGGAGCUCAACUCCAGAACUGCCUUUGAUACUGAGGAUCUUGAGUCCGGGAGAGGUGAGUGGAACUGCGAGUGUAGAGGUGAAAUUCGUAGAUAUCGGGAAGAACACCCGUGGCUAAGGCGGCUCUCUAGUACGGUACUGACGCUGAGACGCGAAAGCGUGGGGAGCGAACAGG